UCAAAGAGCCGGACAUGACUUGAGUACUCUCUUCCUUUGGGAGAAGUUGAGUAUCCUCUUACAGACCACUACAAUGUGCACCUCUGUGAAUAGAAUUCAUUGGGAGUACUGCCCUCUGCUGCUGUGCAACAUGGAACACCUGCACUCCUGGUUCUUGGCCUUUGGCCUUGGACUAAGACUUCUACCGCUACCCCUCCUCCGCCGCCAGGCCUCUGAGUUUGGAUUGGUACUACAUCUCCAGCUUUCCUGAGCUGACUUCUCAGUCUCCGUAAUUAUAUGAGCCAAACCCUCACAGGAUGGUCCUGGUGAAGGAUAAGGGAGGAAUAACCUCAACUUGAAAUUUAACAAGCAUUUCAAGCUCUGGAGCUCUAAUAACUUUAAGUUGCAUUCAAAGUGCUUCUCCCAAACAGUUUACAUGAAAUCCUCUUUUGCCUC